UGAUGCUGAUCAUUGAUUGCACAGUGUCAGAGCUUUCUGUUUCUCUUUCUCCCCCUCACAGCGAGUAUGCUGGGAGGUGGUGAGACGUGGAGAAGGGUACAUGCAUGGGACAGCUCAUCUGAAUUGGCUGAAAGAAUGUUCAGAGUCAUGUAUCAUCGUGCUUGUCAAAAGGAAAUCUCUCUUUUUGGCAAAAUUUCCGACUUCCAGAAGUAUGCGUCCAUUAGAGAACAGAGGGUGAUUCCUGCCACGCACACUGCAUUGCAUCUGAAUCCCAGCUUUGGUGUAGAUAAAGUCUCCAACUCAGAAAUUCAGCAGCAACCCCUGUAUUUUUCCUCUGAACACCAUGCAAUAUGCUGUCAGUUUGCCUCCAGUGCAGGUGACUGCAAAUUCUUCCUGCUGCAGAAGGCUCACAAAAUAUUCGGUGUAUGCGCAUGA
rnacentral:lncRNA from 1 species